UCAAACCGAAGAAGUAGAAGGAGCACAGCAGUUUGCUGAGCAGAUUGCUACAGCGAAACAGCUCUGUUGGUGUCAUUCACUUUUUGUUUCUGUCAGCACGCGUCUUUCGUUUUAUAGUAAAAAAAACAAAACGUUCACGUCUUUUGAAAUCUAAACUCAUCAAAGUGGACUUUGAAGACGUUAGCUCAGGUUGCUGGCAACAAACAAACGGAGACACUAGCUUAGCGGCGAGCUAACGUCAUCGUGUGAAAAAAAAAUGUGUAAAGUGCGACUUCUGAGAACGUUGGUGAAGCAGCGACUGAACGUGGCCGUCGAAGAGAUAUUUGAACUGUUUGAGAGGACGAUCGCAGAAUUUGAGGAGGAACUUUGUCGUGGCAAACGGGGGAAUGAGCAACGACAAGGCGAACUGCUGCUUGAUGUUGUUCUCAAGCCUCACGAAGCAGACGUGCAGCAGGUGUUGUUGGAGAGUCAGGAAGAAGAUGAAGAAGAGGUUCCUUCUGAACAGCAGGAGAAGCCAGUCGAGGCCUCCCACGUUAAAGAGGAAGAGGGGGUGUGGCGCAGCCAUUGUGGGGAGCAGCUUCAAGAACUCGGGGAAGAGGAUGUCGACACGUUGCCUUGGACCGGUGUCCAUGUGAAGGGUGAAGGUGCAGAAGAGAACAUUUGACUUGCCCGUCAUCUGCCAUCGGCAGACUAUAAGACACAUGGGGAGCAGCGAAAUCUCCGGCCAACCAAAGUGACAGUCUUCAAACAUCCGCGCAGAUGUGCAGCCAGCGUUGGUGGAGUGUGAAGAGGAUGCGCGGGAGUGCAGUUCCGGUGUGAGGCAAGAACCAAAACACCCCGACGUUAAAGAGGAGCACACGUGGAUCGGUCAGGACAGAGCGCGGCUUCAUGGGCUGGAAGACACGAAUGUGAUCACGUUCACGCUGACCGGUGUCCAUGUGAAGAACGAAGAAGAGGACGCAGGUCGGCCGUCGCAGCGUCAUCGCGGUCCAAGUGAGAAGUUCAGUCAGCACGUGACAACAGAAGCUGAUGGAGGACACAGCGAUGAUCUCCGCUCGCAACCAGGCAACUUUGCUUCACUGUGCGAUAUGAACUCGAUGUCACGCUGUCGCGACGCAGAUCACAGCGACGACACCGCAGAAGCUUUGGAGACCAACGACCAGUCGAAAGGAAUGACAUCCAAAGGAGCCGAGAUAGCAAGGAGAUACCGGGAACGUCGUGAUGCUGACCCGGACAGAAGAAGAAAAUAUCUUGAGAAAGAAAGGGACAAAUGGAAAAAACAAAGAGAGACUGGGAAGAAGAAAAGCGUCCAUGAACUCAGUGAGCUCGAAAAGUGGGCCAUAAGGAAGAAAUGGAGAGAGGCCAAAAGUCAAGCCAGAGCCCGAAACAGGGCCAGUGCGUUGCUGCAAUCGGAAACGCCACCCAACUCCCCUGCAACUGCGAAAUUCCCUGAAAAUCAUCAUGAGCCCUUCAGGUUAGAUCAUUGAAAGUUGAGGUGACGAGGGUCGAUUGAUGUCAAUGAAAAUUACCAACUGUGUUAUGUCCCCACAUGAUCACAUGUUGACAAAUAACUUGCUAAAAUCAUACAAUGACGGAAAUAGGAAAGCAUUUGAUGACAAGAAAAUAUUUUAUUUUGUUAUUUAUGAUUGUCUUGCUACUAUUUUCAAUAUUGUCUGUUCUUCUUUACAGCACCUUGUCACAGACCUGGUUCUUGUGAAAAUGCUAUAGAAACAAAGUUGAGUUUUUUUUCAUAUCCCGUGAAAAUAAAGCAAUUAUUCUC